rnacentral:rRNA from 1 species
CGCUGGCGGCGUGCCUAAUACAUGCAAGUCGAGCGAACGGACGAGAAGCUUGCUUCUCUGAUGUUAGCGGCGGACGGGUGAGUAACACGUGGAUAACCUACCUAUAAGACUGGGAUAACUUCGGGAAACCGGAGCUAAUACCGGAUAAUAUUUUGAACCGCAUGGUUCAAAAGUGAAAGACGGUCUUGCUGUCACUUAUAGAUGGAUCCGCGCUGCAUUAGCUAGUUGGUAAGGUAACGGCUUACCAAGGCAACGAUGCAUAGCCGACCUGAGAGGGUGAUCGGCCACACUGGAACUGAGACACGGUCCAGACUCCUACGGGAGGCAGCAGUAGGGAAUCUUCCGCAAUGGGCGAAAGCCUGACGGAGCAACGCCGCGUGAGUGAUGAAGGUCUUCGGAUCGUAAAACUCUGUUAUUAGGGAAGAACAUAUGUGUAAGUAACUGUGCACAUCUCGACGGUACCUAAUCAGAAAGCCACGGCUGACUACGUGCCAGCAGCCGCGGUAAUACGUAGGUGGCAAGCGUUAUCCGGAAUUAUUGGGCGUAAAGCGCGCGUAGGCGGUUUUUUAAGUCUGAUGUGAAAGCCCACGGCUCAACCGUGGAGGGUCAUUGGAAACUGGAAAACUUGAGUGCAGAAGAGGAAAGUGGAAUUCCAUGUGUAGCGGUGAAAUGCGCAGAGAUAUGGAGGAACACCAGUGGCGAAGGCGACUUUCUGGUCUGUAACUGACGCUGAUGUGCGAAAGCGUGGGGAUCAAACAGGAUUAGAUACCCUGGUAGUCC